AGCGAACGCUGGCGGCAAGCUUAACACAUGCAAGUCGAACGAUGUAGCAAUACAUAGUGGCGGACGGGUGCGUAACACGUGGGAAUCUGCCUUUAGGUGGGGGAUAACUCAGGGAAACUUGAGCUAAUACCGCAUGAUAUCUUCGGAUCAAAGAUUUAUCGCCUAAAGAUGAGCCCGCGGCAGAUUAGCUAGUUGGUGGGGUAAUGGCCUACCAAGGCAACGAUCUGUAGCUGGUCUGAGAGGAUGACCAGCCACACUGGGACUGAGACACGGCCCAGACUCCUACGGGAGGCAGCAGUGGGGAAUAUUGGGCAAUGGGCGCAAGCCUGACCCAGCUAUGCCGCGUGAAUGAUGAAGGCCUUAGGGUUGUAAAGUUCUUUUACCAGGGACGAUAAUGACGGUACCUGGAGAAAAAGCUCCGGCUAACUUCGUGCCAGCCGCCGCCGUAA
rnacentral:rRNA from 1 species